CUGCUAGUUGCACUAAAAAUUUUAGUGUAAAAUCAACUUAGUUGAAUAAAAUUCUGGGUAAGGUUAUGAUAAUGACAUUACUUAUCCAUAAGUCUUGACCAAAUUACGUGCCAGCAGUCGCGGUAAUACGUAGAAGACAAGUGUUAUUCAUCUUUAAUAGGUUUAAAGGGUACUUAGACGGUAAAUCAAGCCUUAAUCGGGACAGAUUUGCUAGAGUUUUAUGUGAGAAAGUAUUAAAGUACUGCUGGUGUAGAGAUGAAAUUCUGUCAUACCUAAGAUGGCACAGGUAAUGGCGAAAGCAUCUUUUUAUGUAAAAACUGACGUUGAAGGACGAAGGCUUUGUGUCUCGAACAGGAUUAGAUACCCUAGUAGUCUAAGCAGACAAUGAUGAAUGUCAUAGAUUAGAUUUAAUUUAAUUUGAUCUAUAAAUGAAAGUGUAAGCAUUCCACCUCAAGAGUAAUUUGGCAACAUUGGAACUGAAAUCAUUAGACCGUUUCUGAAACCAGUAGUGAAGUAUGUUGUUUAAUUUGAUAAUCCGCAAAAAACCUUACCACAAUUUGAAUAGAUAUUUUUUAUCAUACAAGCGUUGCACGGCUGUCUUCAGUUAAUGUCGUGAGACUUUGGUUAGUUCCAUAAAAUUAACGUAAACCCUUACUUUUUUUUUAAAAAAAGUAGUUCACCGCUAGAUUGGAUGUGAUAACAGGGAUCAAGACAAGUCAUCAUGACCUAACAUAGAUAUUGUGGGCUAUAGACGUGCCACAUAUGCCUUACAAAGAGAUGCUAAAUUGUGAAAUUAAGCUAAUCUCCUAAAAUUGGAUAUAAAUUUAAUGGAU
rnacentral:rRNA from 1 species